rnacentral:tRNA from 1 species
GCAGUCGUGGCCUACUGGUUAGGGCUUCGGGCCUGUAACCGGAGGGUUGCCGGUUCAAUCCUCGACCAGUAGGA